GACGAACCACACAAACGUUAUUCGGAAUUACUGGGCUUAAAGGGUGCGUAGGCUGUGCGGAAAGUUGGGUGUGAAAUCCCCCCGGCUCAACCGGGGGAAUUGCGCCCAAAACUACCGUGCUUGAGGAAGACAGAGGUGAGCGGAACUUCGGGUGGAGCGGUGAAAUGCGUUGAUAUCCGAAGGAACACCGGUGGCGAAAGCGGCUCACUGGGUCUUUUCUGACGCUGAUGCACGAAAGCUAGGGGAGCAAACGGG
rnacentral:rRNA from 1 species